UAGGGAAUCUUCGGCAAUGGACGGAAGUCUGACCGAGCAACGCUGCGUGAGUGAAGAAGGUUUCCGGAUCGUAAAGCUCUGUUGUUAGAGAAGAACGUUGGUAGGAGUGGAAAAUCUACCAAGUGACGGUAACUAACCCGAAAGGGACGGCUAACUACGUGCCAGCAGCCGCGGUAAUACGUAGGUCCCGAGCGUUGUCCGGAUUUAUUGGGCGUAAAGCGAGCGCAGGCGGUUCUUUAAGUCUGAAGUUAAAGGCAGUGGCUUAACCAUUGUACGCUUUGAAAACUGGAGGACAUGAGUGCAGAAGGGGAGGGUGGAAUUCCAUGUGUAGCGGUGAAAUGCGUAGAUAUAUGGAGGAACACCGGUGGCGGAAGCGGCUCUCUGGUCUGUAACUGACGCUGAGGCUCGAAAGCGUGAGGAGCAAGCAGG
rnacentral:rRNA from 1 species